AAUGUCGUAACAAGGUUUCCGUAGGUGAACCUGCGGAAGGAUCAUUAAAAUGAGAUAUAUCUUUUUUUCCUUUUGGCCUAAAAACCCAAAGAAAAAAAUGAAUAAUCCCAACCCUUGUCUAUACAAAAGCCAAAAGUUGUUGCUUCGGCGAAGUCAAGAAUAUUGAAUAAGAUUCGACUCUUUUUUAGUCUCGUUUUUCGAAUAUAUUCUCGCCAGAAGAUGAUAAAAUUUUAAACUCUUUUCGUUUUACAAUAAAAACCUGUCUGAUUAUACAAAAAUUGAAACUUUUCAAAUCCAGAUUGACUUCAUAAAGCCAAUCUGAAUUUAAAAAUAUUAUAAAUUCAUAAACUAUAAAUACAACU
rnacentral:misc_RNA from 1 species